AUACCAUAUAUUAUAUUCCCUGAAGUGAAGUUCUCUUGAAUAUAUCAGCCAGCGAACUGCAGCACUCUGUACUUAUACAACACCAUUUAGAUCCCACUACAAUAUCCUACAAUUAGAGAACCCAAGUGAAAAGAGUUGAAAAGAGUAGUGUCGAUAUGACCAGGUUAGUGGCCAUCCAGCUGCUCCUGCUGAUAUGCAGUUGCCUUGGGGCUCUGUCCCAGGCGAAAUCCUUCAUCGACUAUCGCAUUGACAAUGCCAAUGCCAUUCCCAAGGAUGUGGAAUCGUAUAAUUUUGAAAGUUGUGAAAUCUACUGCUAUGGCGACCUUUUGAAUACCAUUCAAAUGGCCAAGCUGUUUGAGGACUCAAAGACAUUUGUGGACAUGAAACUCAAGCAGACGCCGGCCAAGACCCUCGCGGACUUUGAGUUGUUGAUGGAGGCCAAGAACCGGACGCCCAGCCGCGAGGAUCUGCAGAAGUUUGUGGAUGAUUACUUCAGCCCGAAGGGCACGGAGCUGGAAAUUUGGACACCGACAGACUGGAAGGCGAAUCCCGCUUUUCUUGAUCUGAUCAGUGAUCCAGACCUGAAGCAAUGGGGCCAGGAGCUGAACAAUAUCUGGAAGGAUCUGGGACGCAAGAUGAACGAAGAUGUGAUGAAGAAUCCCGAGUACUACUCGAUCAUCCCAGUGCCGAAUCCAGUGAUCAUUCCGGGAGGCCGCUUCAUAGAAUUCUAUUACUGGGACUCGUACUGGAUCAUCCGCGGACUGCUGCACAGCGAGAUGCAAGACACGGCCCGUGGCAUGAUCGAGAACUUCAUGUCCAUUGUGCAGAGGAUCGGCUUCAUUCCGAAUGGCGGACGAGUCUACUACUGGGGCCGCUCCCAGCCCCCGCUGCUGACCGGCAUGGUCAAGUCGUACGUGGACUUCACCAAGGACGAUCUGUUCGCCAUCAACGCCCUGGAGGUGCUUGAGCACGAGUUCGAGUACUUUGUGAACAAUCACUCGGUCCAGGUCAAGGGUCACAAUCUGGCCGUCUACCGCGACUCGUCGACCGGUCCGCGGCCCGAGUCCUACCGCGAGGAUGUGGAGACCGCAGAGAAUUUCGACACGCCCGAGGCCAAGGAGGAUCACUACAGCGAGCUCAAGUCCGCCGCCGAGUCUGGCAUGGACUUCAGCUCCCGUUGGUUCAUCAAUGAGAAUGGCACCAAUGUCGGUAAUCUCAGCCACCUGCGGACACGCUCCAUUGUACCCGUGGACCUGAAUGCCAUCCUAUACUGGAACGCCAAGCUGAUAGCCGAGUUCCACGCAAAGGCCGGCAACGUGGACAAGAUGACCGAAUACGAGAAGAAGGCCCAGACACUCCUGCAGGGCAUCCAGGAUGUUCUGUGGAACGAGGAGGCAGGCUGCUGGUUGGACUACGAUAUGAUCAAUGAGAAGCCACGCGACUACUUCGUGCCCAGCAAUCUAGCGCCUCUGUUUGUGAAGGCGUACAACAUCUCCGAUACGGAGAAGAUCUCGGCCUCGGUGCUGAGCUAUAUUGAGAAGAACAAACUGGACACAUUCCCGGGCGGAGUGCCCAACACGCUCUACCACACCGGCGAGCAGUGGGACUUCCCCAAUGUGUGGGCGCCCAUGCAGUAUAUCGUGGUCGAGGGACUGGCCAAUCUGAACACACCCGCGGCCAAGGAGCUCUCCAAGAAGUGGGCCCUUCGCUGGGUCAAGUCGAACUUCAAGGCCUACACCGACAGCUUCCACAUGUACGAGAAGUACAAUGCUGAGGAGUUUGGCGGCCAUGGCGGUGGCGGUGAAUACGGCGUUCAGACAGGAUUCGGCUGGUCCAAUGGCGUGAUCAUUGAGUGGUUGAGCAAGCACGGACGCGAACUCUCGGAGGGCUAUGUCGGCGGUGGAGCAGGUGAAGAGCCGCAGUAGAAUGAAGAUCCCCAAAAUGCUAUACAUCACACAUCAAUCAAAUCAAUUCAAUCACCAAUCGUCUCCUUAAAUCAAAUUGAUAUAUUUGUAUAAGCAUCCAUCCAUAAAUGUUGCUCAUCUCUAGGCUAAGAAAAGGCUCUCUAUCUACACACCUAUCUAUCCCGCUAUCUCGCUAUAUCUCUGUAACUAUACCUACUACAUCGCGAACAAACGACAAGAGUAAUCGACAAACGACACAGCAACACAGUCAAAGCACCAACCAACACAGCAGGAAGAAGGAAUACGAUCGCCCAAAAAGUGUCUGUUAAACCAUAUGCCAUCUACGUCCACGUCUACGCAUUCGUGUUUUUUGUCAAAAUUCAAAUCAAAUCAAAGUGAAUGUACUAUAGAUUGUCCUCCAAGCCGCCUCAAGUUCCAGAUUUCAGCCCACCUCUCGCCUAUUCAGUGUUGUGGGCGUGGCAGCUGUAACCAUAGUGGCUCUGAUAGCAG